UUUGAGUUUUUUUUUUUGAGAGAGAGAUAGGUAGCACACUAUCCGCUUCGUUUAUUUCAUUUAAAAAUAAACUUAGCUAAAAAUGUGAAUCAAUUAGGAUUCGAACUUAGGACCUCGGGUACCAACCACCAAUCAUCUCGAGUACCGACCGUCUCUAGAGCAAGCGGCACAGGGCUUGAUGGUUGAUACCCGAGAUCCCAAGUUCGAAUCUUAGUUGAUUCAUAUUUUCAACUAAGUUUAUUUCUAAAUGAAAUAAACAAAGCGGGUAGCGUGCUACCUAUCUCUCAAAACAAAAAAAAAAGACUUUUCUUU
rnacentral:lncRNA from 1 species